rnacentral:rRNA from 1 species
CUACGGGGGGCUGCAGUGGGGAAUAUUGCACAAUGGGCGCAAGCCUGAUGCAGCAACGCCGCGUGAGGGAUGAAGGCCUUCGGGUUGUAAACCUCUUUUAGCAGGGAAGAAGCGAAAGUGACGGUACCUGCAGAAAAAGCACCGGCUAACUACGUGCCAGCAGCCGCGGUAAUACGUAGGGUGCAAGCGUUGUCCGGAAUUAUUGGGCGUAAAGAGCUCGUAGGCGGUUUGUCACGUCUGCUGUGAAAAUCCAAGGCUCAACCUUGGACUUGCAGUGGGUACGGGCAGGCUAGAGUGCGGUAGGGGAGAUGGGAAUUCCUGGUGUAGCGGUGGAAUGCGCAGAUAUCAGGAGGAACACCAAUGGCGAAGGCACAUCUCUGGGCCGUAACUGACGCUGAGGAGCGAAAGCGUGGGGAGCGAACAGGAUUAGAUACCCUGGUAGUC